CCUACCUGAUUUGAGAUCGAACGUUAAAAAGCUGUCCUCGCUGAGGAGAGACAUCUGUGAGCUCCAGCGAACCUUUGUCACCAAAGGUUACCUGGUGGAAAACCGCGAGCGUAGAUAGUUAUCACACUCGUGAUGCCACCAAACACUGGGAGGCUGAUUCAUUUGAGAGGAGCCGACCACAGGCCAGCAAAACCCCCAAGGUCCAAGCUCAUCACGGCAAACCAUGAGAGUUGAGGUGUUCAUGAUACUCAAACAGGCAUGCCCCUCGGAAUAUCCAAGGGGCGCAAGGUGCGUUCAAAGAUUCGAUGAUUCACUGAAUUCUGCAAUUCACAUUACUUAUCGCAUUUCGCUGCGUUCUUCAUCGAUGCGAGAGCCAAGAGAUCCGUUGCUGAAAGUUGUAUUGUGUUGCGUUAGACGCGGCAUACAUUCCAUAAGACUUUAUUACAGUGUGUGUGUGUAAAGACGUAGAACUACGGAAGGAAGACAGGGUCCCCCAGACCGUAAAACUACAGAGGGUGCACAGGUGUGAGUGGAUGUGUAAACAGAGCGUGCACAUGCCCCCGUUCGAGGACCAGCAACAGCCCGUUUGACAAUUCAGUAAUGAUCCUUCC
rnacentral:misc_RNA from 1 species